UGGGGAAUAUUGCACAAUGGGCGCAAGCCUGAUGCAGCCAUGCCGCGUGUGUGAAGAAGGCCUUCGGGUUGUAAAGCACUUUCAGCGGGGAGGAAGGCGAUAAGGUUAAUAACCUUGUCGAUUGACGUUACCCGCAGAAGAAACACCGGCUAACUCCGUGCCAGCAGCCGCGGUAAUACGGAGGGUGCAAGCGUUAAUCGGAAUUACUGGGCGUAAAGCGCACGCAGGCGGUCUGUCAAGUCGGAUGUGAAAUCCCCGGGCUCAACCUGGGAACUGCAUUCGAAACUGGCAGGCUAGAGUCUUGUAGAGGGGGGUAGAAUUCCAGGUGUAGCGAUGAAAUGCGUAGAGAUCUGGAGGAAUACCGGUGGCGAAGGCGGCCCCCUGGACAAAGACUGACGCUCAGGUGCGAAAGCGUGGGGAGCAAACAGG
rnacentral:rRNA from 1 species